rnacentral:rRNA from 1 species
CAGUAGCCGCGGUAAUACGAAGGGGGCUAGCGUUGUUCGGAAUCACUGGGCGUAAAGCGCACGUAGGCGGACUUUUAAGUCAGGGGUGAAAUCCCAAGGCUCAACCUUGGAACUGCCUUUGAUACUGGAAGUCUUGAGUUCGGGAGAGGUGAGUGGAACUGCGAGUGUAGAGGUGAAAUUCGUAGAUAUUCGCAAGAACACCAGUGGCGAAGGCGGCUCACUGGCCCGAUACUGACGCUGAGGUGCGAAAGCGUGGGGAGCAAACAGGAUUAGAUACCCGCGUAGUCCCUGUCUCUUAUAA